ACUCAAACUUGAGAGUUUGAUCCUGGCUCAGGACGAACGCUGGCGGCAGGCUUAACACAUGCAAGUCGAACGAGAAGCAUCCUUCGGGAUGUGGACAGUGGCAGACGGGUGAGUAACGCGUGGGAACGUGCCCUUCGGUACGGAACAACAGUUAGAAAUGACUGCUAAUACCGUAUACGACCUCCGGGUGAAAGAUUUAUCGCCGAAGGAUCGGCCCGCGUUAGAUUAGCUUGAUGGUGGGGUAAAGGCCUACCAUGGCGACGAUCUAUAGCUGUUCUGAGAGGAAGAUCAGCCACACUGGGACUGAGACACGGCCCAGACUCCUACGGGAGGCAGCAGUGGGGAAUAUUGGACAAUGGGGGAAACCCUGAUCCAGCCAUGCCGCGUGGAUGAAGAAGGCCUUAGGGUUGUAAAAUCCUUUCGCUAGGGAAGAUAAUGACGGUACCUAGACAAGAAGCCCCGGCUAAUUUCGUGCCAGCAGCCGCGGUAAUACGAAAGG
rnacentral:rRNA from 1 species